rnacentral:rRNA from 1 species
UAUUAUACUAAUAAAUAUACAGUAGCCUGGGUUAUUAAUAGUUAUAUUCUUUAAAUAUAAGGAAUUUGGCGGUAAUUUAGUCUUGUUAGAGGAACCUGUUUUUGAAUCGAUAAUCCACGUAGAAUUUUACUUACUUUAUUUAGUUUAUAUACCGUCAUUAGCAGAUAAUUUUUAGAAAAUUAAUUAUUAAAAUUUAAAUUGAGUUAAAUUAAAUUAGAUCAAGGUGUAGCCUAUAGGUAAGUUAAAAUGGGUUACAAUAAAAUUUAUUUACAACGGAAUAGCUGUAAGAAAAGAUGUUAUAGAAGGAGGAUUUAAUUGUAAUGCUAAGUUUAAUAAGCAAUCAAGAUAUAAGCUCUAAAUUGU